rnacentral:rRNA from 1 species
CCUACGGGUGGCUGCAGUGGGGAAUAUUGCGCAAUGGGCGAAAGCCUGACGCAGCGACGCCGCGUGAGGGAUGAAGGUCUUCGGAUCGUAAACCUCGGUCAGCAGGGAAGAACGGGCACGGUGCUAAGCAGCAGUGAAGGGACGGUACCUGCAAAGGAAGCACCGGCUAACUCCGUGCCAGCAGCCGCGGUAAUACGGAGGGUGCGAGCGUUAAUCGGAAUUACUGGGCGUAAAGCGCGCGUAGGCGGUAUGUCAAGGCAAGGGUGAAAUCCCCGCGCUCAACGUGGGAACUGCCUUUGAUACUGGCCAACUGGAGUGUGUGAGCGGCUAGUGGACUUCCCGGUGU